UCGAGGAUCUUCCGCAAUGGGCGCAAGCCUGACGGAGCGACGCCGCGUGAGCGAUGAAGGCCUUCGGGUUGUAAAGCUCUUUUAUGAGGGAGGAAACCGCAAGGUUGACUGUACCUCAUGAAUAAGCACGGGCUAAGUUCGUGCCAGCAGCCGCGGUAAGACGAACCGUGCGAACGUUGUUCGGAAUCACUGGGCUUAAAGGGCGCGUAGGCGGGCGAGCAAGUCCGGGGUGAAAUCUUUCGGCUUAACCGGAAAAGUGCCUUGGAUACUGCUCGUCUCGAUGGAGGUAGGGGCCUGUGGAACUUCCGGUGGAGCGGUGAAAUGCGUUGAUAUCGGAAGGAACGCCGGUGGCGAAAGCGACGGGCUGGAUCUCUACUGACGCUGAGGCGCGAAAGCCAGGGGAGCAAACGG
rnacentral:rRNA from 1 species